rnacentral:rRNA from 1 species
GACGAACGCUGGCGGCGUGCUUAACACAUGCAAGUCGAACGGAAAGGCCCUGCUUUUGUGGGGUGCUCGAGUGGCGAACGGGUGAGUAACACGUGAGUAACCUGCCCUUGACUUUGGGAUAACUUCAGGAAACUGGGGCUAAUACCGGAUAGGAGCUCCUGCUGCAUGGUGGGGGUUGGAAAGUUUCGGCGGUUGGGGAUGGACUCGCGGGUUAUCAGCUUGUUGGUGGGGUAGUGGAUUACCAAGGCUUUGACGGGUCGGCGGCCUGAGAGGGUGACCGGCCACAUUGGGACUGAGAUACGGCCCAGACUCCUACGGGAGGCAGCAGUGGGGAAUAUUGCACAAUGGGCGGAAGCCUGAUGCAGCAACGCCGCGUGCGGGAUGACGGCCUUCGGGUUGUAAACCGCUUUCGCCGGUGACGAAGCGUGAGUGACGGUAAUGGGUAAAGAAGCACCGGCUAACUACGUG